GACUGGACUGAAGCCAACGUUCUUUAAAAGUUCACAUGCCUUGUAUUGGCUUUCUAAUUUAGACUCCUUCUGACCAAACAAAGCUGGGGGGUGGGGGAAUGAAACAUAGUAGCAGCAGUUUCAGUAGAAAAUUCUAAGGGUUAACAUAACAUGAUGUAAACUAUUUCAUCUGUUCUUCCUACUUGCCCAUUUUAAUCAGAAAUGAGUAAGUAGAGUCUUAAAUGCAGUGAACUCGAAGAAUGCUAAUGGGAUGUCUGCAUCGUGUUGUACUCUGAGUACUUAUGCCAGAAUAGGAAAGCCUUUUAUUCUGUAAUUCUCCGAGGCAAGAAAGAGGCUUUCUGAGGAGUUUCUUUAAAUUUAAACUCUCAUUCUAAUGUUAGACAGCCUGUUAGAUCUCUGAGUUAAAAAUUGCUUCAGCUUUAGUUACUAGAGCCAGAUGUAACAUUGACCUUAAAUGGUAAAAGCUCCCAAGAGUGAAAGAGAGGCUGGCCUGAGGGGAAAAAGAGGAAUAACUGAAGUUUUAGUGCUGACCCUGCUUCAGGGAGGAGGUUGCUCCCAAUGACCUUCCAACCUGAAGAAUUCCUUAAUUCUGGGAAUUGAUCCUCUAGUCUGACCAUCAUACGGUAACAUAGCAUUUGAGGUCAACUGCCAAGCUGUCAGUGGAGAUGGAGUAAAGCACCUUUAUCUAAGCUUUCACUAACACGACACUCAGCUGUGACUCAGAG